UUAACAGUUCUGACGAAUGCUGGCAUUACUCAUGCUAACUCCCAGAGAUGUCAUGCCGCAGGUUACCAUGGAUACCAGAGUCAGAUAUAAUGCUGAAUGGUCCUUGUAAUACUCCAUUGUCGAACCCCAGGCAAGGUAACAAUGUCUACAUUCAUUAACAUUAUUUAACUUGGCCCCAGUUUUAUCCUCUUCAAUCCGAACACCGGGCAGGGCAACAUUAAAUACAUCUUUUAACGUAAUAUUUCAUGACGUGGCCAGUGAAUCGCACCAUCAAUCGGUUGGUUGAAACAACAUUGACCGCAUCAUCUGUGUAAAGCCAGAGCAUUUGAAAGAUGACUGUAUCAUUCUGUAUGAAGAGGGCGGUGGAGUAGCCUAGUGGUUAAACCGUUUGCUCGUCACGCUGAAGACCCGGGUUCGAUUCCCCACAUGGGUAC